rnacentral:rRNA from 1 species
UACGUAGGCAGCGAGCGUUGUUCGGAGUUACUGGGCGUAAAGGGUGUGUAGGCGGUUCUUUAAGUUUGGUGUGAAAUCUCCCGGCUCAACCGGGAGGGUGCGCCGAAAACUGGGGGACUAGAGUGCGGGAUGGGAGAGUAGAAUUCCUGGUGUAGCGGUGAAAUGCGUAGAUAUCAGGAGGAACACCGGUGGCGAAGGCGGCAUCCUGGACCGGCAUUGACGCUGAGGCGCGAAAGCCAGGGGAGCAAACGGG